UACGGAGGAUGCGAGCGUUAUCCGGAUUUAUUGGGUUUAAAGGGUGCGUAGGCGGGACCAUAAGUCAGCGGUGAAAGUUUUCGGCUCAACCGGAAAAUUGCCGUUGAAACUGUUGUUCUUGAGUGCAGAAGAGGUAGGCGGAAUUCGUUAUGUAGCGGUGAAAUGCGUAGAUAUAACGAAGAACACCAAUUGCGUAGGCAGCUUACCAUACUGCAACUGACGCUGAGGCACGAAAGUGUGGGUAUCAAACAGGAUUAGAUACCCGCGUAGUCCCU
rnacentral:rRNA from 1 species